AAGCUCUCGCCUUAACAGAGUCAUCGUAGAUAUUCUGUGUUGCUGGGGUUUGGUGUACAAGUGGUUUUGUCACCCAGGUGGCGAACAUAAUACCUGUUAGGUAGUUUUUUGACCCUCACCUUCCUCCCACCCUCCACCCUAAAGUAGACCCUGUGUCUGAAAUUGGACUUUUAAAACUACUGGUCAGGUUAUGUCAGUCUGGAGGGCAGAAGAGAAGGAAGGGCAUCACCACUAAUCUUAAGGUCUGCUUCCUUUGGCCCUACAAACCAUACAUUCUGGGAAAGCCUUCUUUCUUCUUUUAUUAUAUUCAGCGGAAGGUUCACUUGCUCUUCUUGCUUCCAAGUAUCUGAGGCUAUCCCAUGAGAAAGGAAGACAGAGAUGGCCAUGGUUGGGGCUGCCUGCUUCAUGGGGCCGGCGGGAACUGGGAACAGGUAGAAGCCCCACCCACUGCUGAGCUGGCAGGGCAGG
rnacentral:lncRNA from 1 species